UCGGGAGGGAGCAUGCAAGCCGGAUUCGGCCUCGCCCAGCCGCCACGGAGGCUGCUUCAAUCUCUAGUUACGCCUCGCUCCACAUGCCCUUCCUUCCUUCCCUCCUCAAUGCCUACCUUCACUGGUGCGUUCUUGGCUGUGCCAGAGUGGACACUUCAGCACUGGCUCCACGACUAUGUUGAGGACAUCAAAUUGAUGGAUCGAGGGGGCAGGAGGUGGAGGACGGCACGCGGCGGCGGGGAUGGAUGUGCCGGCGAUGGGGACGCUAUUGGGGAUCCGGCGCCAACAGGUCGCGUCGCGGCUCGACGUUCCCGACGGCAGACAGGUCGCCCGCGCCCCCGUCAGGCUCCAAGACCGCCACAACGGCGAAAUGGCCCCGCCUCUGUCGACUGGUGUAGUUUGGACAGGAGCAAGUGCGCCAAUUAAUUCUGAUGCGGUGAGAUGCACAGGGAGGCUUGCAUUGGCAAGGCUAGCAGGAGGCCGUUCUCAGGAGGUCUGCGCGACGACGGCGGUAGGGUGAAUUGAGUUCAGAUCUUUGAACAAAUGAUUGUGAUUUUGUAGCUACAGGGUGCUAUUCUUUAUUAUUACUUGGUGCCAGAACCUGAACGCAUGGGUGGCGGCGCCGCUGCUAUACGAAACAUCAUGCGCAUACGAGCCAAAGGGGCUGUCCAAGACGCCAUCAGGGGACGUCAUGCGACCCUUCUCGUUGCAAGGGUGGAAUAGGGAGGCGACAUCGAUCUGGUGGUGUGGGAAAGAUGCGGUUGGACGGGAUUGGCGGCAUCGGUCUGGUGGUGUGGAGAGGAGAGGCCCUUCCAGGCCUGGCCGACACUGCUCUUGUCCCCGGCAGAGCGGGAGAUGAGUAGGCCGCCACCGAUCCCGUUUCCGGCCUCUUUCGAUUUGCCCUCGCACAGCCGACCGCGUCUCGUCCUCGGUGGCACCACGGAGACUGAACGCAGGACAAUCAUGAAGACGAAGACGUGGAAAAAGGGGGAGCGGGAUUAGCGUGGCGGCUCCUCUCGGAUAUCGAUGCCGGCUCCUCGAUAGCCUCUCGGCGGCGGAGCAGGAGGCGGGGCGGCGGCAGAGUGGGAGAAAGAGGGAAAGAGAGAGGUCGCAGCGGGAGGGGGUGGAUCGAGAGGAGGGGUCGCAGCGGGAGGGAGAGAGAGAGGGAGCGAUCGUUGGGUUUUUUUGGCACCGAUUUGUUUCGCAGAAGGAUAGUGAGUUAACGGAGGUGGGAGGAUAACGAAAAUAAAACGGAGGUGAGAGAAUGACGAAAAUAAACCAGUAAAAAUAAACCGCGUGGACUAUUCAUCAAGUCGUCAAUUAGGAGUAGAGACUAUCGUGGGAAUUUUUAUUUGCGUCUUUCCUUGACGCUCAUGGACUCAUGGUAAGAGAUGCAGGUGUAAUCUUUAGCGCCACUUCGAAAUUGAAGUUGGUGUGACACCAAGCAAUAAAGCGGAGCCUUCAUCAUGCAGCUAAGAGUAACUUCAUUU